UACCAGUAAAUAUGCCAGGAA
rnacentral:piRNA from 1 species